rnacentral:rRNA from 1 species
ACGAACGCUGGCGGCGUGCUUAACACCUGCAAGUCGAACGGAAAGGCCCUGCUUUUGUGGGGUGCUCGAGUGGCGAACGGGUGAGUAACACGUGAGUAACCUGCCCUUGACUUUGGGAUAACUUCAGGAAACUGGGGCUAAUACCGGAUAGGAGCUCCUGCUGCAUGGUGGGGGUUGGAAAGUUUCGGCGGUUGGGGAUGGACUCGCGGCUUAUCAGCUUGUUGGUGGGGUAGUGGCUUACCAAGGCUUUGACGGGUAGCUGGCCUGAGAGGGUGACCGGCCACAUUGGGACUGAGAUACGGCCCAGACUCCUACGGGAGGCAGCAGUGGGGAAUAUUGCACAAUGGGCGGAAGCCUGAUGCAGCAACGCCGCGUGCGGGAUGACGGCCUUCGGGCUGUAAACCGCUUUCGCCUGUGACGAAGCGUGAGUGACGGUAAUGGGUAAAGAAGCACCGGCUAACUACGUG